rnacentral:rRNA from 1 species
UUUCCAGUAUAUCGCGCAGCUGAUCAGCAUGCCGCGUGCAGUGAGAAGGCCUUCGGGUUGUAAACGUGCUUUUGUACGGAACGAAACGGUCCUGGUUAAUACCCGGGGCUAAUGACGGUACCGUAAGAAUAAGCACCGGCUAACUACGUGCCAGCAGCCGCGGUAAU